CGAGCGCAACCCUUGAUUUAGUUGCCAUCAUUAAGUUGGGCACUCUAAGGUGACUGCCGGUGACAAACCGGAGGAAGGUGGGGAUGACGUCAAAUCAUCAUGCCCCUUAUGACCUGGGCUACACACGUGCUACAAUGGACGGUACAAAGAGCUGCAAGACCGCGAGGUGGAGCUAAUCUCAUAAAACCGUUCUCAGUUCGGAUUGUAGGCUGCAACUCGCCUACAUGAAGCUGGAAUCGCUAGUAAUCGCGGAUCAGCAUGCCGCGGUGAAUACGUUCCCGGGCCUUGUACACACCGCCCGUCACACCACGAGAGUUUGUAACACCCGAAGUCGGUGGGGUAACCUUUUUGGAGCCAGCCGCCUAAGGUGGGACAGAUGAUGGGGGUGAAGUCGUAACAAGG
rnacentral:rRNA from 1 species